CCUAGCGGCGGACGGGUGAGUAAUGCGUAGGANGCUACCCGAUAGAGGGGGAUACCAGUUGGAAACGACUGUUAAUACCGCAUAAUGUCUACGGACCAAAGUGUGGGACCUUCGGGCCACAUGCUAUCGGAUGCGCCUACGUGGGAUUAGCUAGUUGGUGGGGUAAUGGCUCACCAAGGCGACAAUCCCUAGCUGGUUUGAGAGGAUGAUCAGCCACACUGGAACUGAGACACGGUCCAGACUCCUACGGGAGGCAGCAGUGGGGAAUAUUGGACAAUGGGCGCAAGCCUGAUCCAGCCAUGCCGCGUGUGUGAAGAAGGCCUUCGGGUUGUAAAGCACUUUCAGCGAGGAGGAAGGGGUGAGUGUUAAUAGUACUCAUCUUUGACGUUACUCGCAGAAGAAGCACCGGCUAACUCUGUGCCAGCAGCCGCGGUAAUACAGAGGGUGCAAGCGUUAAUCGGAAUUACUGGGCGUAAAGCGCACGUAGGCGGUUUUUUAAGUCAGAUGUGAAAGCCCCGGGCUCAACCUGGGAAUUGCAUUUGAAACUGGAAAACUAGAGUGUGUGAGAGGGGGGUAGAAUUCCAAGUGUAGCGGUGAAAUGCGUAGAGAUUUGGAGGANUACCAGUGGCGAAGGCGGCCCCCUGNCACAACACUGACGCUCAGGUGCGAANNCGUGGGGAGCAAACAGGAUUAGAUACCCUNNAGUCCACGCCGUAAACGAUGUCUACUANCUGUUCGUGACCUUGUGUCGUGAGUANCGCANCUAACGCAUUAAGUAGACCGCCUGGGG
rnacentral:rRNA from 1 species